GGCGCAGGUGCAGAGGCUCGCCCCCGACUCCGCGCCCCAAGCCACCCUCCGGGACAAAGGUGGCGGCGGGGAGGGGGAGGGUUGAGCCCAUACCGGGAGUUGCGGCGACUCUGCCGGGGCGACGCGGCUGCGGCGGCCCGGCCCUCCGCGCCACGACCCGCUUGUCUGAACGCGCCCUCGGAGCGCGCGGGACUUUGAACUGCCAUCCCAAUGCUGCAGGCGAACGCAAGUUACUCCGGCUUUACCGGUGGGCGAACUGAGGCUCAGGAAAGAGCCUUACCGAAAGCCACCCCCUAAUAAAUGAGAAUGCCAACUGGUGUUGUCCACAACAAGGAUCUCGUGUCGUGGCCUGUGCCUCCCGGAAGACCGAGGGUCACAGAUGUACUAACCUCUUGUUUCAGCCUGGAUCCAAUCAGGACAAUAGAAUCCACGUUGCUGAUUUCAGAUAGAGGACGCGAUGCAGGGAAGUGUUUCCAUGGUGAUGGAGGGAGGAGGAAGAGGCAGGUGACUUUCUCGGUUCCCCGUUUCUCCCUGAGCCUGGUUACACGGCCCUUUCUCCAUGCUGAGAGAAGAACGAGGGGCAGGGUGGCCCCCACAGAUGUGCAUUCGAGUCUCUCUCAGUGGGGCUGGAGGCUGCACGGCCAGGGGUGGGCUUCAGUCUGUGACAUGCCACGGGCGGUUCUCCCAUUGCUUGACAACUUUUGAGUCAGUCACUCACACUGAGAAAUCUGGAAAAUUCUCAUAAAAAUCCCCAAUCUCCAACCUCUCUUUGAAAGUGGAGACCCAGCAGCGCUGGGCCUGCAUUUCCCCACUGCAGCAGGUGAAUGGAGCGCAUCCAGCUCGAUCAUGCCCUCUCCUGUCCGCCACGGCCUCCGCUGCUCCCUCUUCCAUCAUCCCUGGCCCACUUUGCUCACUUUGAUUUCCUGGCUGGUCCCUGAAAGCCUUUGCACUUAGGCCACUGGAUUCAUCAGAACACUUACAUUUUAUAAUGCGCUUUUUACAACUCCUGAUUUGAGGCCACAUUCCUCAAGCUGCAUUAAUCCACGAAGCCCCUUUGUGACUCGCUGUUUCCAGGUACCGGCCCCCUCUAUUUGCUUAAAACUUUAAAAUGCGUUCUUUUAUAAAGUAAAGGCCUAUUUUUUAUGUUUCCUCAGCGGUAAUCCCCAUAAAACCAAGAGUUUGGUGUACUCAGCAGGGUUCCUUCCUAAUAAAAUAAAACGUGCUUGUACC